GAUGAAGAACGUAGCAAAAUGUGAUACUUGGUGUGAAUUGCAGAAUCCCGUGAACCAUCGAGUUUUUGAACGCAAGUUGCGCCCGAAGCCUUUUGGCCGAGGGCACGUCUGCCUGGGCGUCACGCAUCGCGUCGCCCCCCACAAUUCUCCGUAAAGGGAACGUGUGUUUUGGGGGCGGAUAUUGGUCUCCCGUGCUCAUGGCGUGGUUGGCCGAAAUAGGAGUCCUUUCGAUGGACGCACGAACUAGUGGUGGUCGUAAAAACCCUCGUCUUUUGUUUCGUGCUGUUGCUCGCAAGGUAAACUCUUUAAAAACCCCAAUGUGUCGUCUCUUGACGACGCUUCGACCGCGACCCCAGGUCAGGCGGGACUACCCGCUGAGUUUAAGCAUAUCAAUAAGCGGAGGA
rnacentral:misc_RNA from 1 species